rnacentral:rRNA from 1 species
UACGAGGGGGGCAAAUGUCGUUCGGAAUCACUGGGCGUAAAGGGCGUGUAGGCGGACCUAUAAGUCUAUUCUGAAAGCUCCUGGCUAAACUGGGAGAGGCGAAUGGAGACUGUAGAUCUAGAGUGAGGAAGAGGAAAGUGGAAUUCCGCGUGUAGUGGUGAAAUGCGUAGAGAUGCGGAGGAACACCAGUGGCGAAAGCGACUUUCUGGUCCUUAACUGACGCUGAGGCGCGAAAGCAUGGGGAGCGAACGGG